rnacentral:tRNA from 1 species
CGGGAAAUGGCUCAACUUGGUAGAGCACUCGGUUUGGGACCGAGGGGUUGCAGGUUCAAAUCCUGUUUUCCCGACCA